GAGCUUUCAAGCCUCCUACACAUGGGAAAUCUUUCCCCAUCAAUUUGUCUGAUACAUGAGCUGAGUGCAUGCCCUUGACAACAUGCUCAUCUCUCUCCAAAUGAGAACACGGGGGAAGAUUGGUAGCAGCUGGUGAACCAUCUUGCAGGAAACCUUUUUCAUCGUGAAGGAUCUUUGUGACCAGUUCCUGAUAAGUUUCCAAGAAAGCCUGAACGUUCUGCAGAAGUCUGUUUGUAAUAAUGGCUGCUUUGGGGAUGGCCGAGUUGAAUCUGCCCAGGUUCUUCUUGGUGCAGAAUUUAGAUCGUGGCACAGAAUGGAUCAUUAUGCCUCCCGCUGUCUCUCCCACUAAAUUAACACUCACAGCUUUGCCUCCUGCAGCAUCUCAUUCUCAUUCUGUCCCAUCAUCUCCAAUAUGUGGAGGAAGAAAGUCUUAGUACUUUCUGCCUGGAUAACCAGCCCAAACAUUCCUGAAAAGAAGAGAUCCCAGCGCUGAUGUCUGCCGCAAGGUUAAUAUCCUUUUGCUUUCAUGGGGAGAGACGGAGAAGGCUUGCAGCCUCCUGCCUCAAGCCAACUCAGGAGCUGGGAAGCAUUCAGUUACUUUAAUCCUUUGCACUGGCAGAGGGAGAUAAGGCUCCUAUCUUGACAGGACGUUGGUGGAGAGUAGAACAGCCUAACAGAGACAAAGCUGCUGUGCAGGCAAAGAGAAAGUGCCCGACACAGGGAAAGAGAGGCUGCAGGAAAAGAACUCUGUAGUAGGCACUGGCAUUUAAAGCCCUAAACAACUUGGGACUGCAAAACUUAAAGGAGAACCUCUCCUUAUGUAUUCCUGCUUGAGGAUUGAUCUCUGCUAGAGCAAUGCUCCUCUGUCCCAAAAGUCGGGAUGAUACAAUGGGGGGGGGGGGGCACAAGAGAGGGCCUUUUUGACUGUGGCACCCCACUUGAGGAAUGCCUUCCCCAUGGGAGUCCUGACUGAUGCCUACCUUGGGUACACAGGACCAUCCCAUGUCUUCUCUCGAUCUUGCUCCUUUCCCACAUUUUUUCUUCCUUCCCUUUCACAUGAAAGCAGGCCAAACUUUGUAGUUUCCCUAGCCCCAGUUUGAGGGUCUGUUCAAGCAUUUCCAUGUCCUCCUUAAGCAGGGCUGUGUGGCAAUGUGAGAUGGGCACCAAAGACAUUCAGCAAUGCCUCAGUUCACACCCAGGGUACCAAGUUCUUUCACUUAGGUUACUCUUGAAGGAGCACUUCAGAAAGGAUGUCCACACCACACCAAUGGCUUCCCAGAACAAUAAGCCAGCAUUCUCUCUUGUUAAUUUAUCUAUAACGUUGCACAAGUCUUGUGCAAACCAUUUCUUGCUGAAUCCAGGAUGCUUCUAUUAAUUUUUUAAAUUUUUUUCAUUUGCAUUUGGCUUUUCUUCCACUGAACUCAAAGAAGCAUGCAUGGCUCUCCUUCUCCUCUUUACUUUUCUCUCCUCGCAACCACCCUACGAGGUAGAUUAGGAUGUGUGCAUGAGAGAAACGCUAGUCCAGUCAGCACUAGGAUGCCCCACUGGCACCAACACUCAUUUUAUUCCAGUGCCAAGUAAAAACAGGGUUGGUAUUGUUUAAAAUAAUAGCCACUGGGUGUGUGUAAUUGAUUUAAUCCAAAAGCUAGGUGUGCAUUUUUAAAAACCGUUUCAACCUUUUACUACCUGUUUCAUAUGCUUGGGUCUGUUUAAAUAUAUUUUCAUUAAACCUGAAAUUAUUUUAAA